rnacentral:rRNA from 1 species
AUUGAACGCUGGCGGCAGGCUUAACACAUGCAAGUCGAGCGCCCCGCAAGGGGAGCGGCAGACGGGUGAGUAACGCGUGGGAAUCUACCCAAUACUACGGAAUAGCUCCGGGAAACUGGAAUUAAUACCGUAUGUGCCCUACGGGGGAAAGAUUUAUCGGUAUUGGAUGAGCCCGCGUUGGAUUAGCUAGUUGGUGAGGUAAUGGCUCACCAAGGCGACGAUCCAUAGCUGGUCUGAGAGGAUGAUCAGCCACACUGGGACUGAGACACGGCCCAGACUCCUACGGGAGGCAGCAGUGGGGAAUAUUGGACAAUGGGCGAAAGCCUGAUCCAGCCAUGCCGCGUGAGUGAUGAAGGCCUUAGGGUUGUAAAGCUCUUUCAGGUGGGAAGAUAAUGACGGUACCACCAGAAGAAGCCCCGGCUAACUUCGUGCCAGCAGCCGCGGUAACAC